rnacentral:rRNA from 1 species
GACAGAGGUGCCGAGCGUUAGGCGGAAUCACUGGGCUUAAAGCGUGUGUAGGCGGACUUCUAAGUACCUUGUGAAAUCCCCCGGCUCAACCGGGGAACUGCUUGGUAUACUGGUUGUCUUGAGCCACUUAGGGGCAGUCGGAACAGACGGUGGAGCGGUGAAAUGCGUAGAUAUCGUCUGGAACGCCAAAGGUGAAAACAGACUGCUGGGAGUGUGCUGACGCUGAUGCGCGAAAGCCAGGGGAGCGAACGGG